rnacentral:misc_RNA from 1 species
UCCACGUUAUCCGCGGCAGUCUCCUGAGAGUCCUCCCUUUCGGGUAGCAACACAGGACAAGGGUUGCGCUCGUUGCGGGACUUAACCCAACAUCUCACGACACGAGCUGACGACAACCAUGCAGCACCUCGGCUGGCUCCCUUGCGGGUCCCCCAUCCUUUCAAAUAGGGUACUACCAGUCGUUCGAGCCCAGGUAAGGUUCUUCGCGUAGCGUCGAAUUAAACCACAUGCUCCACCGCUUGUGCGGGCCCCCGUCAAUUCCUUUGAGUUUUAACCUUGCGGCCGUACUCCCCAGGCGGAUAACUUAAUGCGUUAGCGUCGGCGCGGAAGGGGUCGAUACCUCCCACACCUAGUUAUCAUCGUUUACAGCUAGGACUAC